AUGAGAUGGCCUGUGACAAAGCCCCCAGACCAGACGGCUUCUCCAUGCUAUUCUUCAGAACCUACUGGAUCACAAUCAAAAAUGACAUCAUGGCAACAAUUACAAAGCUCCAGAAUCUCAACUUUGCCAACUUCGAAAAGUUAA
rnacentral:rRNA from 1 species